rnacentral:tRNA from 1 species
GAAAUGUGAGGGCCAAGAAGAAGCUGCUAACUUCUAUCUUUAGCGGUUAAAUUCCGUUUACAUUUCU